rnacentral:rRNA from 1 species
UGGGGAAUAUUGGACAAUGGGGGCAACCCUGAUCCAGCAAUGCCGCGUGUGUGAAGAAGGUCUUCGGAUUGUAAAGCACUUUCGACGGGGACGAUGAUGACGGUACCCGUAGAAGAAGCCCCGGCUAACUUCGUGCCAGCAGCCGCGGUAAUACGAAGGGGGCUAGCGUUGCUCGGAAUGACUGGGCGUAAAGGGCGUGUAGGCGGUUUACACAGUCAGAUGUGAAAUCCCCGGGCUUAACCUGGGAGCUGCAUUUGAUACGUGUAGACUAGAGUGUGAGAGAGGGUUGUGGAAUUCCCAGUGGUAGAGGUGAAAUUCGUAGAUAUUGGGAAGAACACCGGUGGCGAAGGCGGCAACCUGGCUCAUGACUGACGCUGAGGCGCGAAAGCGUGGGGAGCAAACAGGAUUAGAUACCCUGGUAGUCCACNCUGUAAACGAUGUGUGCUAGAUGUUGGGU